rnacentral:rRNA from 1 species
AGCGAACGCUGGCGGCAGGCUUAACACAUGCAAGUCGAACGGGCACUUCGGUGCUAGUGGCAGACGGGUGAGUAACGCGUGGGAACGUGCCUUUCGGUUCGGAAUAAUCCAGGGAAACUUGGACUAAUACCGGAUACGCCCUUCGGGGGAAAGAUUUAUCGCCGAAAGAUCGGCCCGCGUCUGAUUAGCUAGUUGGUGAGGUAAAGGCUCACCAAGGCGACGAUCAGUAGCUGGUCUGAGAGGAUGAUCAGCCACAUUGGGACUGAGACACGGCCCAAACUCCUACGGGAGGCAGCAGUGGGGAAUAUUGGACGAUGGGCUCAAGCCUGAUCCAGCCAUGCCGCGUGAGUGAUGAAGGCCUUAGGGUUGUAAAGCUCUAUUGUCCGGGAAGAUAAUGACUGUACCGGAAGAAUAAGCCCCGGCUAACUUCGUGCCAGCCGCCGCCGUAA